rnacentral:misc_RNA from 1 species
UCUCCGUAGGUGAACCUGCGGAGGGAUCAUUACAGAGUUCCCGCCCUCGCGGGUAGAUCUCCCACCCACUGUUAUCGUUACUGUGUUGCUUUGGCGGGCCGCCGGGCCCCGCUCGGCCGCCGGCUCCGGCUGGCGCGCGCCCGCCAGAGGCCCAGCAAACUCUGAAUGUUAGUGUCGUCUGAGUACUAUAUAAUAGUUAAAACUUUCAACAACGGAUCUCUUGGUUCUG